CAGUCUAUCUGUGGCUUCCUUUAAUGAGUGGAAUGAGGUAGAAAUGAUGAGGUGCCAGUUCUGAACCCAGAACUUAGAAGGCCUGUGUGCUUUCACUCUCGUUCUCAGAACUCUGCCUCACUGCCAUGAGAACAAGCUCAGAAUGAGAGGAUGAGAAAUGCAUGGUCCGUUCAUAUCCCAGUCAGCCAACAACCACAACCGGAGCUGCCCAGCUAACUACAGACACGAGUACACCGGAACCAGGUCUCAGUUGGUGGAGAACUGAAAAAGCUUGGCUAAGAAUCAAGUGGAGGCAUGAACACUGUGGUACCUGACUCUUUCCUUCAGGUCCUUCCCGUAGAAGUUGAACUUCGCAGCAAGAUAGCUGAGGAUGGCUCUAGUCUGUGUCAGCAUCAUUCCAUCCACUUCAACCAAAGGCACUUGGCCGAAAAGCAGGCAUCCAUCUGUGGUUUGAGCAAAGAGAGGUUAAGAUUCCGUUGUUCAGUGGUUGCAGCAAAUCUAAGGAUGGUUCACUUCUAUCUGUGAUUUUUAGGUUCUAUCUAAAGUGAUCAAUUAAAGACCACAGUUGUUGAGGAAA